AGGUUACCCCACAGGGCAACUGAAUCGUCUGCUGUCUAGGGAAAAUCAAUCUGAUUUCCACUUCUUCAAAGAAUUAAUACCUUGCGUUUUUUUCUUUGGUUUCAGGAUCAAUCUUAAGAUUUGGAGAAAAAAAGCGAUGGGGUGUCUAAGGAGAUGAAAUCUCAUUAUGAGACGUCUGCGGCGUUGCUGCUCUUGAAGUGCAUUAUCCUAAUGGCAGUGGACGCCGUAAAUCCAGGUUGCGACUGUCUGGUUUUCUCGGCCACAUAUGGGAAAGAAUACGGUGUUUUCAGCAGUCAAGAUUACCCAAAACCGUACCCCUCACAUGUUGACUGCCUUUUAUACACCUUCGUCGCUCACAAAGACGAGAUAGUUGAAAUAACUUUCAAGGAUUUGACAUCUACAAAUCUCAUCUUGAGUGAGUACCCUCUGCAAUACACUCAGAACUUUUCCUUCAAAUGAAGCAUUCUUUUUAAUAACACAC
rnacentral:lncRNA from 1 species